AAUAGAUACCCGGGUAGUCCACGCCCUAAACGAUGUCUACUAGUUGUCGGGGGGUAACUCUUUCGGUAACGCAGCUAACGCGUGAAGUAGACCGCCUGGGGAGUACGGUCGCAAGAUUAAAACUCAAAGGAAUUGACGGGGACCCGCACAAGCGGUGGAUGAUGUGGAUUAAUUCGAUGCAACGCGAAAAACCUUACCUACCCUUGACAUGCCACUAACGAAGCAGAGAUGCAUUAGGUGCCCGAAAGGGAAAGUGGACACAGGUGCUGCAUGGCUGUCGUCAGCUCGUGUCGUGAGAUGUUGGGUUAAGUCCCGCAACGAGCGCAACCCUUGCCAAUAGUUGCUACGAAAGGGCACUCUAUUGGGACUGCCGGUGACAAACCGGAGGAAGGUGGGGAUGACGUCAAGUCCUCAUGGCCCUUAUGGGUAGGGCUUCACACGUCAUACAAUGGCUGGUACAGAGGGUUGCCAACCCGCGAGGGGGAGCCAAUCCCACAAAACCAGUCGUAGUCCGGAUUGCAGUCUGCAACUCGACUGCAUG
rnacentral:rRNA from 1 species